UACGUAGGGGGCAAGCGUUGUCCGGAAUCAUUGGGCGUAAAGAGCGUGUAGGCGGCCAGGUAGGUCUGCUGUGAAAACUCGAGGCUUAACCUCGAGCUGUCGGCGGAAACCAUCUGGCUAGAGUCCGGAAGAGGAGAAUGGAAUUCCCGGUGUAGCGGUGAAAUGCGCAGAUAUCGGGAAGAACACCCGUGGCGAAGGCGGCUCACUGGCCCGGUACUGACGCUGAGGCACGAAAGCGUGGGGAGCAAACAGGG
rnacentral:rRNA from 1 species